CCCCGUUAAAUCCCAAAUUUUUCCCGUCUGUUCUCCGAUCUCCACAGAAAAAUUUUUUCAAAAUUUGUUCAGAUCUUGAUUCUCCGGUUGGGGUCUCCCUCAAGCUUUUCUGAUUCUCUCUGUCUCGACAUCUCCCUCAAGCUUUCUCUCCAUCUCAACAUCUCUCUCGGGCUUUCAUCUCGAUGUCUCUCUCUCUCAAGGAUGAAC
rnacentral:lncRNA from 1 species